rnacentral:rRNA from 1 species
ACCAGACUCCUACGGGAGGCAGCAGUGGGGGAUAUUGCACAAUGGGGGGAACCCUGAUGCAGCGACGCCGCGUGGGUGAAGAAGCGCCUCGGCGCGUAAAGCCCUGUCAACAGGGAAGAAAAUGACGGUACCUGAAGAAGAAGCCCCGGCUAACUACGUGCCAGCAGCCGCGGUAAUACGUAGGGGGCAAGCGUUAUCCGGAUUUACUGGGUGUAAAGGGGGCGCAGACGGCGAUGCAAGCCAGGAGUGAAAGCCCGGGGCCCAACCCCGGGACUGCUCUUGGAAGUGCGUGGCUGGAGUGCAGGAGGGGCAGGCGGAAUUCCUGGUGUAGCGGUGAAAUGCGUAGAUAUCAGGAGGAACACCGGUGGCGAAGGCGGCCUGCUGGACUGCAACUGACGUUGAGGCCCGAAAGCGUGGGGAGCAAACAGGAUUAGAUACCCCAGUAA